rnacentral:rRNA from 1 species
AGCAGCCGCGGUAAUUCCAGCUCCAAUAGCGUAUAUUAAAGUUGUUGCAGUUAAAAGCUCGUAGUUGAAUUUCGGGAUCAAUACGUCGGUCGUGCCUUCGGUACGUACUGGCGCCAUUGGUUUCUCCCUUCUGACGAACCAUGAUGUCAUUAAUUUGGUGUUAUGGGAAGUUAGGACUGUUACUUUGAAAAAUUAGAGUGUUUAAAGCAGGCAUUAGCUUGAAUACAUUAGCAUGGAAUAAUGAAAUAGGACGUUCGAACCUAUUUUGUUGGUUUCUAGGAUCAACGUAAUGAUUAAUAGGGAUAGUUGGGGGCAUUAGUACUCAAUUGUCAGAGGUGAAAUUCUUGGAUUUAUUGAAGACUAACUACUGCGAAAGCAUUUGCCAAGGAUGUUUUCAUUAAUCAAGAACGAAAGUUAGGGGAUCGAAGACGAUCAGAUACCGUCGUAGUCUUAACCAUAAACUAUGCCGACUAGGGAUCGGAUGAUGUUAAUUUUUAAUGUACUCAUUCGGCGCCUUAAC